GGUUAAGCGACUAAGCGUACACGGUGGAUGCCCUGGCAGUCAGAGGCGAUGAAGGGCGUGCUAAUCUGCGAUAAGCGCCGGUAAGGUGAUAUGAACCGUUAUAACCGGCGAUACCCGAAUGGGGAAACCCAGUGUGACUCGUCACACUAUCAUUAACUGAAUCCAUAGGUUAAUGAGGCGAACCGGGGGAACUGAAACAUCUAAGUACCCCGAGGAAAAGAAAUCAACCGAGAUUCCCCCAGUAGCGGCGAGCGAACGGGGAGGAGCCCAGAGCCUGAAUCAGCAUGUGUGUUAGUGGAAGCGUCUGGAAAGGCGCGCGAUACAGGGUGACAGCCCCGUACACAAAAGCGCAUGUGCUGUGAGCUCGAUGAGUAGGGCGGGACACGUGGUAUCCUGUCUGAAUAUGGGGGGACCAUCCUCCAAGGCUAAAUACUCCUGACUGACCGAUAGUGAACCAGUACCGUGAGGGAAAGGCGAAAAGAACCCCGGCGAGGGGAGUGAAAAAGAACCUGAAACCGUGUACGUACAAGCAGUGGGAGCACAGGUUUACCUGUGUGACUGCGUACCUUUUGUAUAAUGGGUCAGCGACUUAUAUUCUGUAGCAAGGUUAACCGUAUAGGGGAGCCGUAGGGAAACCGAGUCUUAACCGGGCGUUAAGUUGCAGGGUAUAGACCCGAAACCCGGUGAUCUAGCCAUGGGCAGGUUGAAGGUUGGGUAACACUAACUGGAGGACCGAACCGACUAAUGUUGAAAAAUUAGCGGAUGACCUGUGGCUGGGGGUGAAAGGCCAAUCAAACCGGGAGAUAGCUGGUUCUCCCCGAAAGCUAUUUAGGUAGCGCCUCGUGAAUUCAUCUCCGGGGGUAGAGCACUGUUUCGGCUAGGGGGCCAUCCCGGCUUACCAACCCGAUGCAAACUGCGAAUACCGGAGAAUGUUAUCACGGGAGACACACGGCGGGUGCUAACGUCCGUCGUGAAGAGGGAAACAACCCAGACCGCCAGCUAAGGUCCCAAAGUCAUGGUUAAGUGGGAAACGAUGUGGGAAGGCCCAGACAGCCAGGAUGUUGGCUUAGAAGCAGCCAUCAUUUAAAGAAAGCGUAAUAGCUCACUGGUCGAGUCGGCCUGCGCGGAAGAUGUAACGGGGCUAAACCAUGCACCGAAGCUGCGGCAGCGACGCUGAUGCGUUGUUGGGUAGGGGAGCGUUCUGUAAGCCUGUGAAGGUGGCCUGUGAGGGUUGCUGGAGGUAUCAGAAGUGCGAAUGCUGACAUAAGUAACGAUAAAGCGGGUGAAAAGCCCGCUCGCCGGAAGACCAAGGGUUCCUGUCCAACGUUAAUCGGGGCAGGGUGAGUCGACCCCUAAGGCGAGGCCGAAAGGCGUAGUCGAUGGGAAACGGGUUAAUAUUCCCGUACUUGGUGUUACUGCGAAGGGGGGACGGAGAAGGCUAUGUUGGCCGGGCGACGGUUGUCCCGGUUUAAGCGUGUAGGUGUGUGUUCCAGGUAAAUCCGGUUCACUUUAACACUGAGGCGUGAUGACGAGGCACUACGGUGCUGAAGCAACAAAUGCCCUGCUUCCAGGAAAAGCCUCUAAGCAUCAGGUAACAUCAAAUCGUACCCCAAACCGACACAGGUGGUCAGGUAGAGAAUACCAAGGCGCUUGAGAGAACUCGGGUGAAGGAACUAGGCAAAAUGGUGCCGUAACUUCGGGAGAAGGCACGCUGACACGUAGGUGAAGUGAUUUACUCAUGGAGCUGAAGUCAGUCGAAGAUACCAGCUGGCUGCAACUGUUUAUUAAAAACACAGCACUGUGCAAACACGAAAGUGGACGUAUACGGUGUGACGCCUGCCCGGUGCCGGAAGGUUAAUUGAUGGGGUCAGCGCAAGCGAAGCUCCUGAUCGAAGCCCCGGUAAACGGCGGCCGUAACUAUAACGGUCCUAAGGUAGCGAAAUUCCUUGUCGGGUAAGUUCCGACCUGCACGAAUGGCGUAAUGAUGGCCAGGCUGUCUCCACCCGAGACUCAGUGAAAUUGAACUCGCUGUGAAGAUGCAGUGUACCCGCGGCAAGACGGAAAGACCCCGUGAACCUUUACUAUAGCUUGACACUGAACAUUGAGCCUUGAUGUGUAGGAUAGGUGGGAGGCUUUGAAGCGUGGACGCCAGUCUGCAUGGAGCCGGCCUUGAAAUACCACCCUUUAAUGUUUGAUGUUCUAACGUGGACCCGUGAUCCGGGUUGCGGACAGUGUCUGGUGGGUAGUUUGACUGGGGCGGUCUCCUCCUAAAGAGUAACGGAGGAGCACGAAGGUUGGCUAAUCCUGGUCGGACAUCAGGAGGUUAGUGCAAUGGCAUAAGCCAGCUUGACUGCGAGCGUGACGGCGCGAGCAGGUGCGAAAGCAGGUCAUAGUGAUCCGGUGGUUCUGAAUGGAAGGGCCAUCGCUCAACGGAUAAAAGGUACUCCGGGGAUAACAGGCUGAUACCGCCCAAGAGUUCAUAUCGACGGCGGUGUUUGGCACCUCGAUGUCGGCUCAUCACAUCCUGGGGCUGAAGUAGUCCCAAGGGGUAUGGCUGUUCGCCAUUUAAAGUGGUACGCGAGCUGGGUUUAGAACGUCGUGAGACAGUUCGGUCCCUAUCUGCCGUGGGCGCUGGAGAACUGAGGGGGGCUGCUCCUAGUACGAGAGGACCGGAGUGGACGCAUCACUGGUGUUCGGGUUGUCAUGCCAAUGGCACUGCCCGGUAGCUAAAUGCGGAAGAGAUAAGUGCUGAAAGCAUCUAAGCACGAAACUUGCCCCGAGAUGAGUUCUCCCUGAGACUUAGAGUCUCCUGAAGGAACGUUGAAGACGACGACGUUGAUAGGCCGGGUGUGUAAGCGCAGCGAUGCGUUGAGCUAACCGGUACUAAUGAACCGUGAGGCUUAACCUU
rnacentral:rRNA from 1 species